AGUAACACACAAAUAAUGAUUACGCUGAUUAAGACUAUUGUUUAUUUCAGGACAAAUGAGAAAACUUUACAUUUGAAGGAUUUUCAUUGUUUUUUUAAUGAUUAAUUGAUUGGUAGAAAAGCAAUUAGUUAAUUGUCACGAGAAAUGACUAAAGCUUAAAUCUAAAUGUCAUAGUAGUUACCGUUUUAAAUGCGUUUUUGUUAAUUAGCUAAUUAAUUAUCUCAUAUCCGGCUGUUCUGAUUUUUAAUUGUUAAAAAUAUGUGAAGAAAAUGUCAAACUAUUUAAAAGUUAUUAUUUUCUCUAAGUAUAAAAGGAGAUGAAAUUGAAUUGUGAAAAUCAUUCUGACUCUUCAUUUGUUCAACAAACAUUUAACUGAUUAUUUGAAUUUUGUUCGUGUGUCUAAAUCACUCAACUCAAUCCCAAUAAAUAAAAUGGACUCCAAAUCAUUUGUCGUUUAUGUCGCUCUCUUUGCUUCAGCCAUCGCAAUGGCUUUUGCUGAUCCUGCCCCAGAACCUGAGCCACAACCAAUCAUGAGCUUGGUCAACGGUCUUCUCGGAUAAAUUGUCUUUUAAUCGACAGCGACUAAUCAAAUGUUGAUUACAUUGAUACCUUGGAAUGGUCAUUAUGAUUUACUAAUAGUUAAUUGCAGUUAUAUAAAUUUUGAUGAAUAAAUUAAGCAUUUAAAAACUAAAAAA